AAUGCAAUUGCUGGAUUGUAUGGUUAGUGUAUAGCUAGUUGCUUAACUUUUUAAGAAACUGCCAGACUGUUUUCCAGAGUGACUGUACCAUGGUACAUUUCCACCUGCAGU
rnacentral:pre_miRNA from 1 species